rnacentral:lncRNA from 1 species
GUAGGGGUGGGGGUGGAGGGGCAGAGGGAGGAGCAAACCAGGUGGGGACGAGGAGGCCUCAUGGCCCGACGAGGGCGCUGGGGCCCGCGUUAGACAUCCAGCAUCCAGCCACCUGCCGGACCCUGCCUGUGGGUAUCCUGGCUCCAGAGACACAAGAUCAAGUGCUGCUUCCUAUCAGCUGGAGUCACUGCCCUGCUUGUCAUCAUCAUCAUCAUCGCCACCUCUGUCCGAAAGUGAUGCUACCCGUGCAUCGGCCGCUGAACCGUCAGCUGGCUGUGGUGUGGGCUCUCCAGCCCCGAGCACCCCUCCUGGCCCGGAGCUGGGAGCUGAUGGAGUCCGCUGCGUUGUCAGCUGAUGCCGUCACUUGGCCUGCAAUGGACCCGAGAGCUUCACAGCUGCCUGCUGUCCUCCCCUGCACUGACCCCACUCGCCCCUGUGUCGGCCCCAGCUGAGCACCCGAAUAAACCGCUGUGGCUUAUCCAGCCACGUG